CCGCGGCCUCGGGCAAUGCUGCCACCCCGGGAGCACGGCGCCCGCAUCUGGAUCUGCAGCUGAGGGGCGACGGGGUGCUCAGAGAUGGGGUGGAGAGGGGACAGCCAGAAACGCGCGUCCUCAAACUGAGCCGCAGCGCCCGCCACGCCGGGCCGUCACCUUGCCAAAUCCUGUUUACACCCAGAGAGGCUGGGACAGCGUUUCAACUAAACAAAGUAUUCACAACUGUGAAAGGAUGUCGAGCUAGAAUGGAAAUCUCAUGCAUGUGCCCUGGAAAGAACAGAACUUCGAACUUAAGAACUCAGAGACUGAUUUGUCCUAAAGGCUGAUGUGCAGAAGACUCAGACUUACCUCCUGACCAAUGAAAAAGCGCCAAGAGUCUCUCCCCAUCCUCAGGCCAAUGAACGUACUGCUUGGACUCCAACCAGACUCCCCCUCUUUGCUCUCCCUACCCAUAAAUACAGCCCACCCCCACCCUCAGCACACUUGCCUGUAGCUUGCUGUGGUUUGCAUUUCCUCAAAUGGCAAUUCCUGUGCUCUUCCUGAAUAAUCUCAAUUUCUGAUAGUUCAAGCUUGCCUCAGUUUACCUCUUUAUUUAGGUUGACACAACUUGCUGAGGUAAGAAAACCACAAUUAGGAAAGAAAAGGCUUGGAGAGUAGGAAUUGAAGGGAGCGGGUUGGCCCCUGGAGGUUAGUUUUGGCUUAUUAAUACUAUAGAAUAGUAUGCAGCUGUCACAAAGAAUGACCUUCAUACAAAUGUGAUAGCAUACAUAGAUCCCUAGGAAAUGCUGCUGAAUGAACCCUGUAGAGUACAAUACCAUAUAGGUUAAAAGCAAACUCACUAGUGGUGCAGUGGUUAAGACUCUGAGCUCCCCAUGCAGGGGGCCGGGGUUCGAUCUCUGGUAAGGGAACUAGAUCCCACAUGCAUGCCCCAAUGAAGAGUUUGCAUGCCACAACUAAGGAGCCCGUGUGCUGCAACUUAGGAGCCUGCCUGUCACAACUAAGACCCAGCACAAUCUACAUAAAUAAAUAUUUUAAAAAAACAAACUCACACUGACAUAUAAGCACACUUCUCUAUGUGUUCAAUCAAUGCAUAUAAAAAUGCAAAAGCCAGAGAAAGAUUUAGAGAGAUACUCCUAAAUGCAGUUGUGUCUCCCUGGGCUUCCUAGAGAGUAAAACUUCUUUUUCUCAUUUUUAUAUUCCCAAAGGCUCACUCAAGGAAAGUUCUCAAGAAAUACUAGUAGUCCUUUCUACCUGCAAACUCCUGUCUCUAAUCUGUUCAUACCUGUCUCCACGACCAUCACCUCUUGCCCAGGCUACUAACAACAACAUCCCUACUGGUCUCUCUGCUUUCGCCCUUGCUCUACCAUGGUCCCCCCUUCUCAGUAGAGUCUUAAAACUGUAAAUGCAAACCUGAUCCCACAACCCCCUGCUUGAAACCCUCCACUGGCUUCUCCUAACAUUGAAAGUACAGUCUCAACCCCAUAACCUGAUUGGCAAGGCCUCCCUCUCCAUGCACUUCUCCCAGGUGUGUGACUAAUUCCAAGAAGCUUUUGCCUGCCUCACUGCUUUUGCAUUUGCCAUCUUGCAUUUGCCGUCACCUUCCCCCAGACAGCAUGGCUGGCCCCUAUUCAUCUAGGACCCCUUGCCUUCCCAUCUAAGAAAGGAAGGUUUGGGACCAUCGAUUGCUACUCCAACAUAUAGUACCCGUUUGCCAUAUUCUUUCCUACCCAGCUUCUGUAAUACAGCAACACCCUGAAGCCCACGGGUGGAUUGAAAUUGUCUCCACUAAGCCCCACUGAGACUCCAAGGACUAAGUCUGGACCAGGUGGUAUCAGAGCAGUUUUGGCCCAGUGUGUGGCCAAUGGCUGGCAUCCUUCCCUCCUGGCACAGCCACCUGCUUUUAGAGACAACAGCUCAACAUAUCACUCCUUUCGCAUCAACCAGCAAGGUUCCUACGAUGAUCUCCACUUCACCGCUGGCAAAAUCAGGGUCCAAAAUGGCUAGAUAACCUAAGAGCACCAGCAAGCCAGCAGCAAGUUGGGAUUCGAGUCCAGCCUGCCUGCUCCUAAGCCCUUGCUCCUUCCGCUCAGCCGCGUGGACUUCCCGUGGGUUGCACAUCCAGCAAGCGCCAGCUUCCACACAAUGAGGCCUGGACACACGUGUUCAUGUUCAUGUUCAUUGUAAUGCUGAUCAUUGUAGCAAACAAAACAAAGCAAAAGCCACCUCUUCCGUCAUGAUAGGUACAUGCUUAAAUAAUCUGUGUUACACGUUUAUGUUUACAGUGAAAUAUAAUGCAGUGGUUUAAAAAAAUGGGGUGGGGGAAUUCCUUGGCAGUCCAGUGGUUAGGGCUCCUCGCUCUUGCUGCCAAAGACCUGGGUUUGAUCCCUGGUCAGGGAACUAAAAUCUCACAAGCCACGCAGCAUGGCCAAAAAAAAAAAAAAAAAAAGAAAAGAGAAAAAGAAAAAAGAAAAAAAAAAGAGAGAAAAAAAAGGAAAAAGAAUGGGGUAGGUUGAUAGGUACUGACCUAAGAAACCAUCACCCCAUAUUAGACCCCAUGUUAGUAAAUGAUGGGAAACAUUUACAGAAUAAUAUUAUGAUUAUGUUGCCACAUUACUUUUUUAAAAAUACAGAAAACAAGACUUAAUGGAGUCUACAAAUGCAUUCCUAUAUAAUAAUUCAUCAGGCUAUACACUUAGAAUUUCUGCAACUGACUGUAAGCAAAUUA